CUAUACAUGACUCUGCGCAUAUCAAUAAGCGGAGGAAAAGAAACUAAUAAGGAUUCCCCUAGUAACGGCGAGUGAAGCGGGAAGAGCUCAAAUUUGAAAUCUUCAAGGUUUCCCUUGACGAAUUGUAGUUUAAAGAAGUGUUUUCUGUUAGAGAGUUUGGUAAAAGUUCUUUGGAAUAGGACAUCAUAGAGGGUGAGAAUCCCGUAUUUGACCAUUUCUUCCAGCUGUGUGAUACACUUUCAAAGAGUCGGAUUGUUUGGGAAUGCAGUCCAAAAUGGGUGGUAAAUUUCAUCUAAAGCUAAAUAUUGGCGAGAGACCGAUAGCGAACAAGUACCGUGAGGGAAAGAUGAAAAGAACUUUGAAAAGAGAGUUAAACAGUACGUGAAAUUGUCAAAAGGGAAGCGUUUGACACCAGUGUUGUUUUUCCGAAAAUCAAUUAUGAAUGCUUUAUUUUGAAGUUCAUGACCUUAAAUCUGGUUGCUUAUUUUUCUUGUAACUUUCGUAAUGCACUUUUCGGUUAACAAGUCAACAUCAAUUUCUCUUGUUGUAAAAGGGUUAUGAGGAAGGUGGCUUUACUUUCGGAGUAAAGUGUUUAUAGCCUUGUAGCCUCUGCAAUCGGAGAGAUUGAGGUCUGCAGCGUAGAUCCUUCGGGGUUAGAUACGUUUGUGCUAAGUUAUAGCUUUUCAUAGACAACUUGUUGACUAUGUUUAGUCUUGUAGCUUACUCGCUUACUGCUAUUUUACCUACGCUUAGGAUGUUGAUAUGCAUGACUGAUAU
rnacentral:rRNA from 1 species